AUUGAACGCUGGCGGCAGGCCUAACACAUGCAAGUCGAGCGGGGUUUUCGGACCUAGCGGCGGACGGGUGAGUAAUGCGUAGGAAGCUGCCCGAUAGAGGGGGAUACCAGUUGGAAACGACUGUUAAUACCGCAUAAUGUCUACGGACCAAAGUGUGGGACCUUCGGGCCACAUGCUAUCGGAUGCGCCUACGUGGGAUUAGCUAGUUGGUGAGGUAAUGGCUCACCAAGGCGACGAUCCCUAGCUGGUUUGAGAGGAUGAUCAGCCACACUGGAACUGAGACACGGUCCAGACUGCUACGGGAGGCAGCAGUGGGGAAUAUUGGACAAUGGGCGCAAGCCUGAUCCAGCCAUGCCGCGUGUGUGAAGAAGGCCUCGGGUUGUAAAGCACUUUCAGUAGGGAGGAAGGGUGUUGUGUUAAUAGCACAGCAUUUUGACGUUACCUACAGAAGAAGCACCGGCUAACUCUGUGCCAGCCGCCGCAGUAACAC
rnacentral:rRNA from 1 species